rnacentral:rRNA from 1 species
GAUAAACGCUGGCGGCGUGCCUAAUACAUGCAAGUCGAACGGUAAGGCUUUCACAGAUUAUUUAAUCUGGAUAAGUCCGCUUUAUAUUUAUUUAUAAAGCGGAUACUGUCUAAACAGGAUUCUAGGCUAGAAUUUUUGAUUGAAUAAUGCGUGAAAGUACACGAGUGGCGGACGGCUGAGUAACGCGUAGGAAUGUACCC